GUCUUCGGACUUUGAGACCGGCGCACGGGUGCGUAACGCGUAUGCAAUCUACCUUUUACAGAGGGAUAGCCCAGAGAAAUUUGGAUUAAUACCUCAUAGUAUAAUGACCUGGCAUCAGGAUGUUAUUAAAGUCACAACGGUAAAAGAUGAGCAUGCGUCCCAUUAGCUAGUUGGUAAGGUAACGGCUUACCAAGGCUACGAUGGGUAGGGGUCCUGAGAGGGAGAUCCCCCACACUGGUACUGAGACACGGACCAGACUCCUACGGGAGGCAGCAGUGAGGAAUAUUGGACAAUGGGCGCAAGCCUGAUCCAGCCAUGCCGCGUGCAGGAUGACGGUCCUAUGGAUUGUAAACUGCUUUUAUACGAGAAGAAACACUCCAACGUGUUGGAGCUUGACGGUAUCGUAAGAAUAAGGAUCGGCUAACUCCGUGCCAGCAGCCGCGGUAAUACGGAGGAUCCAAGCGUUAUCCGGAAUCAUUGGGUUUAAAGGGUCCGUAGGCGGUUUGGUAAGUCAGUGGUGAAAGCCCAUCGCUCAACGGUGGAACGGCCAUUGAUACUGCCAGACUUGAAUUAUUAGGAAGUAACUAGAAUAUGUAGUGUAGCGGUGAAAUGCUUAGAGAUUACAUGGAAUACCAAUUGCGAAGGCAGGUUACUACUAAUGGAUUGACGCUGAUGGACGAAAGCGUGGGUAGCGAACAGGAUUAGAUACCCUGGUAGUCCACGCCGUAAACGAUGGAUACUAGCUGUUGGAAGCAAUUUCAGUGGCUAAACGAAAGUGAUAAGUAUCCCACCUGGGGGA
rnacentral:rRNA from 1 species